GUGCUCACUCUGGCAGCAUAUAUACUAAAACUGUAAUAUAACAAAGAUUAGCACAGCCUGUGGACAAGGAUGAAACACAAAUUUGUGCAGCAUUCCAUAUUUUU